CCUACGGGACGCACCAGUGGGGGAUAUUGCACAAUGGGCGCAAGCCUGAUGCAGCCAUGCCGCGUGUGUGAAGAAGGCCUUCGGGUUGUAAAGCACUUUCAGCGGGAGGAAGGCGAUAAGGUUAAUAACCUUGUCGAUCGACGUUACCCGCAGAAGAAGCACCGGCUAACUCCGUGCCAGCAGCCGCGGUAAUACGGAGGGUGCAAGCGUUAAUCGGAAUUACUGGGCGUAAAGCGCACGCAGGCGGUCUAUCAAGUCGGAUGUGAAAUCCCCGGGCUCAACCUGGGAACUGCAUUCGAAACUGGCAGGCUAGAGUCUUGUAGAGGGGGGUAGAAUUCCAGGCGUAGCGGUGAAAUGCGUAAAGAUCUGGAGGAAUACCGGUGGCGAAGGCGGCCCCCUGGACAAAGACUGACGCUCAGGUGCGAAAGCGUGGGGAGCAAACAGGAUUAGAUACCCGAGUAGUC
rnacentral:rRNA from 1 species